rnacentral:rRNA from 1 species
UAGCCGUAAACGAUACUCGCUAGGUGUCGGCCACGGUGCGACCGUUGUCGGUGCCGUAGGGAAGCCGUGAAGCGAGCCACCUGGGAAGUACGGCCGCAAGGCUGAAACUUAAAGGAAUUGGCGGGGGAGCACCACAACGGGUGGAGCUUGCGGUCUAAUUGGAUUCAACGCCGGAGAUCUUACCGGGACCGACAGCAACAUGAAGGCCAGGCUGAAGACUUUGCCGGAUUAGCUGAGAGGAGGUGCAUGGCGUAGUCGUGU